rnacentral:misc_RNA from 1 species
AGCCAUUCCAGCUGACGAGACAAUCAGUAAAAGCCUACGGCCAGUUUUAUCCACCAGCCAUGUAGAAACAGCAGUGGCAACCACCUGGAUAGCACCAAAACCUAAAGUUGCAGCAUCACUUGAAGAAAUCCCGGCCGAUAGGAAAAUGUUACUGGAAUAGAAGAUCACACCAUUGGUUCCGCUGAGUUGUUGUAGGACAAGCAGUCCAAUGCCUAUCAUGAGAGGCAG